UUCUUCCUACGUCUCAUUUUCUCUAAAACCUAAAUCUUUAACAUCGCUUAAUCGUCGUUACCACCACAAACUUGGAUUAUCUUCUUAUUUUUGGUGGUGGAGACAGCCGACUUAAACCCUAAGUUAAGGUUAUGAUGAUUCGAACAAAAUGGAAAGAGCUUUGUUUGAGAGAUGUACCAUGAAACUUGGAUCUUGAUGAGGUGUCUUUCGUCUUUGAGGAUUCGAUCAAUCUUAUACACAUAAUCAUCCUCUCCAUAUUUUUCUACAACUGCUAUCAAGAUAUCCACAAUCAAAGAUUAACAAAACCUAAUACAAAUGAGGAAUUGGGGAUUUUAGAUAUUUGUGAAUAUGAAACUUCAAACUCUAAUUCGAAGAAGAUAGAUAGAGAUGCAUGUGACAAAUGGCAGGCGAUGGUGGCCAUCCCUUUCGGCUAGUCGACAAGUUCUGUUAGUUUGAUAACGAAAGUACAGGGGUGCAUAUUGCAAGAAGAAAAGGGUAGUUUGGUCUUUUCACCAACAGUCAAAAUGUCAAACUAACAAAACUUGACGACAGGUAAGCAUUAUAUAACGAAAAGACAAGUUGCUGCAAA